GAUGAACGCUGGCGGCGUGCCUAAUACAUGCAAGUCGAGCGAACAGACGAGGAGCUUGCUCCUCUGACGUUAGCGGCGGACGGGUGAGUAACACGUGGAUAACCUACCUAUAAGACUGGGAUAACUUCGGGAAACCGGAGCUAAUACCGGAUAAUAUAUUGAACCGCAUGGUUCAAUAGUGAAAGACGGUUUUGCUGUCACUUAUAGAUGGAUCCGCGCCGCAUUAGCUAGUUGGUAAGGUAACGGCUUACCAAGGCGACGAUGCGUAGCCGACCUGAGAGGGUGAUCGGCCACACUGGAACUGAGACACGGUCCAGACUCCUACGGGGGGCAGCAGUAGGGAAUCUUCCGCAAUGGGCGAAAGCCUGACGGAGCAACGCCGCGUGAGUGAUGAAGGUCUUCGGAUCGUAAAACUCUGUUAUUAGGGAAGAACAAAUGUGUAAGUAACUAUGCACGUCCUGACGGUACCUAAUCAGAAAGCCACGGCUAACUACGUG
rnacentral:rRNA from 1 species